rnacentral:rRNA from 1 species
GUUGUAUAGUCAAGUAAUUAAGUGCAUGUGGUGGAUGCCUUGGCAGUCAGAGGCGAUGAAAGACGUGAUAGCCUGCGAAAAGCUCCGGGGAGGCGGCAAAUAUCCUUUGAUCCGGAGAUGUCUGAAUGGGGGAACCCACCUACUUUAAGGUAGGUAUUGCAACAUGAAUACAUAGUGUUGCAAGGCGAACGAGGGGAAGUGAAACAUCUCAGUACCCUUAGGAAAAGAAAUCAAUUGAGAUUCCCUCAGUAGCGGCGAGCGAACGGGGAUCAGCCCAUUAAGUUAUGUGUGUUUUAGUGGAACGCUCUGGGAAGUGCGAACGUAGAGGGUGAUAUUCCCGUACACGAAAGGGCACACAUAAUGAUGACGAGUAGGGCGAGGCACGUGAAACCUUGUCUGAAUAUGGGGGGACCAUCCUCCAAGGCUAAAUACUCCUGACUGACCGAUAGUGAACCAGUACCGUGAGGGAAAGGCGAAAAGAACCCCUGUGAGGGGAGUGAAAUAGAUCCUGAAACCGCAUGCAUACAAGCAGUGGGAGCACCUUCGUGGUGUGACUGCGUACCUUUUGUAUAAUGGGUCAGCGACUUAUAUUCAGUAGCGAGGUUAACCGUAUAGGGGAGCCGUAGAGAAAUCGAGUCUUAAUAGGGCGUUUAGUUGCUGGGUAUAGACCCGAAACCAGGCGAUCUAUCCAUGAGCAGGUUGAAGGUUGGGUAACACUAACUGGAGGACCGAACCCACUGUCGUUGAAAAGCCAGGGGAUGACUUGUGGAUAGGGGUGAAAGGCUAAUCAAGCCUGGUGAUAGCUGGUUCUCCCCGAAAGCUAUUUAGGUAGCGCCUCGGACGAAUACCAUAGGGGGUAGAGCACUGUUUCGGCUAGGGGGUCAUCCCGACUUACCAAACCGAUGCAAACUCCGAAUACCUAUGAGUACUAUCCGGGAGACAGACUGCGGGUGCUAACGUCCGUAGUCAAGAGGAAAACAAUCCAGACCGCCAGCUAAGGCCCCAAAAUCAUAGUUAAGUGGGAAACGAUGUGGGAAGGCAUAGACAGCUAGGAGGUUGGCUUAGAAGCAGCCACCCUUUAAAGAAAGCGUAAUAGCUCACUAGUCGAGUCGGCCUGCGCGGAAGAUGUAACGGGGCUAAAACUAUGUGCCGAAGCUGCGGAUUUUGANNNNNNNNNNNNNNNNNNNNNNNNNNNNNNNNNNNNNNNNNNNNNNNNNNNNNNNNNNNNNNNNNNNNNNNNNNNNNNNNNNNNNNNNNNNNNNNAUGCUGGAGGUAUCAGAAGUGCGAAUGCUGACGUGAGUAACGACAAAACGGGUGAAAAACCCGUUCGCCGAAAGACCAAGGGUUCCAGUCCAACGUUAAUCGGGGCUGGGUGAGUCGACCCCUAAGGCGAGGCCGAAAGGCGUAGUCGAUGGGAAAAUGGUUAAUAUUCCAUUACUUCUGUGUAAUGCGAUGAGAGGACGGAGAAGGCUAAAUCAGCCUGGCGUUGGUUGUCCAGGUGAAAGGAUGUAGGCAUGUAUCUUAGGCAAAUCCGGGGUACUCUAUGCUGAGAUCUGAUAGCAAGCUGUACUUGUACAGCGAAGUGGUUGAUGCCAUGCUUCCAGGAAAAGUCUCUAAGCUUCAGUUACACAGGAAUCGUACCCGAAACCGACACAGGUGGUCAGGUCGAGUAGACCAAGGCGCUUGAGAGAACUCUGCUGAAGGAACUAGGCAAAAUGGUACCGUAACUUCGGGAGAAGGUACGCUGUUGUUGGUGAUGGAACUCGCUUCCUGAGCUGACGACAGCCGCAGAAACCAGGCCGCUGCAACUGUUUAUUAAAAACAUAGCACUCUGCAAACACGAAAGUGGACGUAUAGGGUGUGAUGCCUGCCCGGUGCUGGAAGGUUAAUUGAUGGGGUUAGCGUAAGCGAAGCUCUUGAUCGAAGCCCCAGUAAACGGCGGCCGUAACUAUAACGGUCCUAAGGUAGCGAAAUUCCUUGUCGGGUAAGUUCCGACCUGCACGAAUGGCAUAAUGAUGGCGGCGCUGUCUCCAGCAGAGGCUCAGUGAAAUCGAAAUCGCUGUGAAGAUGCAGUGUACCCGCGGCUAGACGGAAAGACCCCGUGAACCUUUACUGCAGCUUGACACUGAACUUUGACCUUACUUGUGUAGGAUAGGUGGGAGGCUUUGAAGCUGGAACGCUAGUUCCAGUGGAGCCGUCCUUGAAAUACCACCCUGGUAAUGUUGAGGUUCUAACUCUGUCCCGUGAUCCGGGACGAGGACCGUGUCUGGUGGGUAGUUUGACUGGGGCGGUCUCCUCCUAAAGAGUAACGGAGGAGUACGAAGGUGCGCUCAGCGUGGUCGGAAAUCACGCGUAGAGUAUAAAGGCAAAAGCGCGCUUAACUGCGAGACCCACAAGUCGAGCAGGUACGAAAGUAGGUCUUAGUGAUCCGGUGGUUCUGUAUGGAAGGGCCAUCGCUCAACGGAUAAAAGGUACUCUGGGGAUAACAGGCUGAUACCGCCCAAGAGUUCAUAUCGACGGCGGUGUUUGGCACCUCGAUGUCGGCUCAUCUCAUCCUGGGGCUGAAGCAGGUCCCAAGGGUAUGGCUGUUCGCCAUUUAAAGAGGUACGCGAGCUGGGUUUAGAACGUCGUGAGACAGUUCGGUCCCUAUCUACCGUGGGCGCUGGAAAUUUGAGAGGAUCUGCUCCUAGUACGAGAGGACCAGAGUGGACGAACCUCUGGUGUACCGGUUGUGACGCCAGUCGCAUCGCCGGGUAGCUAUGUUCGGAAGGGAUAACCGCUGAAAGCAUCUAAGCGGGAAGCCUACCUCAAGAUAAGAUUUCCCUAGGACUUUAUGUCCUCUAAAGAGCCGUUCGAGACUAGGACGUUGAUAGGUUGGAUGUGGAAGCAUAGUGAUAUGUGAAGCUGACCAAUACUAAUUGCUCGUGAGGCUUGACUAUACAACACCCAAGCAGUUG